AAUUUUUAACAAUGGGGGAAACCCUGAUCCAGCCAUCCCGCGUGUAUGAUGAAGGCCUGCGGGUUGUAAAGUACUUUUGGCAGAGAGGAAAAGGUAUCCCCUAAUACGGGAUACUGCUGACGGUAUCUGCAGAAUAAGCACCGGCUAACUACGUGCCAGCAGCCGCGGUAAUACGUAGGGUGCAAGCGUUAAUCGGAAGUACUGGGCGUAAACCGUGUGUAGGCGGUUCGGAACGAAAGAUGUGAAAUCCCAGGGCUACACCUUGGAACUGCAUUUUUAACUGACGAGCUAGCGUCAGUCAGAGGGGGGUAGCAUUCCACGUGUCGCAGUGAAAUGCGUAGAUAUGUGGAGGAAUACCGAUGGCGAUGGCAGCCCCCUGGGAUAAUACUGACGCUCAGACACGAAAGCGUGGGGAGCAAACAGG
rnacentral:rRNA from 1 species